rnacentral:rRNA from 1 species
AUUGAACGCUGGCGGCAGGCCUAACACAUGCAAGUCGAGCGGAAGAAGGGAGCUUGCUCCUGGAUUCAGCGGCGGACGGGUGAGUAAUGCCUAGGAAUCUGCGUGGUUGUUUUGGCUAACGUCCGGACACGGGCGCUAAUACCGCAUUCGUCCAUAGGGCGUAAGUGUGGGAUCUUCGGACCUCACGCUCUCACGUGAGCCGAUGUCGGAUUAGCUAGUUGGUGGGGUAAAGGCCUACCAAGGCGACGAUCCGUAACUGGUCUGAGAGGAUGAUCAGCCACACUGGAACUGAGACACGGUCCAGACUCCUACGGGAGGCAGCAGUGGGGAAUAUUGGACAAUGGGCGCAAGCCUGAUCCAGCCAUGCCGCGUGUGUGAAGAAGGCCUUCGGAUUGUAAAGCCCUUUUAGUUGGGAGGAAGAGCAGUAAGUUAAUACCUCGCUGUUUUGACGUUACCCAAAGAAUAAGCACCGGCUAACUUCGUG